ACGGAAGGCAGCAGUGGGGAAUAUUGGGCAAUGGGGGAAACCCUGACCCAGCAACGCCGCGUGAAGGAAGGAGGCCUUCGGGUUGUAAACUUCUUUUACCAGGGACGAUAAUGACGGUACCUGGAGAAAAAGCAACGGCUAACUACGUGCCAGCAGCCGCGGUAAUACGUAGGUUGCAAGCGUUGUCCGGAUUUACUGGGUGUAAAGGGCGUGUAGGCGGAGCUGCAAGUCAGAUGUGAAAUCCCGGGGCUCAACCCCGGAACUGCAUUUGAAACUGUAGCCCUUGAGUAUCGGAGAGGCAAGCGGAAUUCCUAGUGUAGCGGUGAAAUGCGUAGAUAUUAGGAGGAACACCAGUGGCGAAGGCGGCUUGCUGGACGACAACUGACGCUGAGGCGCGAAAGCGUGGGGAGCAAACAGGAUUAGAUACCCUGGUA
rnacentral:rRNA from 1 species